CUUGUUUGAAAAAAAUCAAUGGGUUUUGCCCAUGGCCAUGAAUGAGAUUGGAGCUUCCAGUCAGUAGGGCCUCAGCUACCUGCCCACUCACCAGUGUGGGGAGGUGAAACCCAAGCCCUGACAUAU